UACGUAGGGACCAAGCGUUGUUCGGAUUUACUGGGCGUAAAGGGCGCGUAGGCGGCGUGGUAAGUCAGCUGUGAAAUCUCCGAGCUUAACUCGGAACGGUCAGCUGAUACUGCUGUGCUAGAGUACAGAAAGGGCAAUCGGAAUUCUUGGUGUAGCGGUGAAAUGCGUAGAUAUCAAGAGGAACACCUGAGGCGAAGGCGGGUUGCUAGGCUGAUACUGACGCUGAGGCGCGAAAGCUAGGGUAGCAAACGGGG
rnacentral:rRNA from 1 species